GCCAGAGUGGCGGAACUGGCAGACGCGCGCGACUCAAACUCGCGUGUCCGUAAGGACUUGUGGGUUCGAUUCCCACCUCUGGCA
rnacentral:tRNA from 1 species